rnacentral:rRNA from 1 species
GAUGAACGCUGGCGGCGUGCUUAACACAUGCAAGUCGAACGGGAAUUAUUUUAUUGACACUUCGGUCGAUUUCAUUUAAUUCUAGUGGCGGACGGGUGAGUAACGCGUGGGUAACCUGCCUUAUACAGGGGGAUAACAGUCAGAAAUGGCUGCUAAUACCGCAUAAGCGCACAGAGCUGCAUGGCUCAGUGUGAAAAACUCCGGUGGUAUAAGAUGGACCCGCGUUGGAUUAGCUGGUUGGUGGGGUAACGGCCCACCAAGGCGACGAUCCAUAGCCGGCCUGAGAGGGUGAACGGCCACAUUGGGACUGAGACACGGCCCAGACUCCUACGGGAGGCAGCAGUGGGGAAUAUUGCACAAUGGGGGAAACCCUGAUGCAGCGACGCCGCGUGAAGGAAGAAGUAUCUCGGUAUGUAAACUUCUAUCAGCAGGGAAGAUAGUGACGGUACCUGACUAAGAAGCCCCGGCUAACUACGUG